GUAGUUUAUUUUAGAUAACAAUUCUUAUCGAUACAUCCUAGAUAAUAACGAAAAAAAUAAUUGAAAUAUCUAUCGAAAACAUUUGGAGAAUCAGGAAGUAAGUUUUGUUUGGAUAUAUCGUCACCUACUAAUUUUAGCUGACAUUUGCCCCGAGCACAAGGCCAGAAGAAUCGAGAAUGAAGACCAAAAUUGUUAGGGUGCGUGGGUUGCAAAAUCUUGUAUGCAUACCCACUAAAAGAACUAAGGACUCACCACUUCCAUGCGAAUGGUUUAACAUAAGAGUUUUACAGCUGUCCCGAGUUUCAAAAUAUCUUAGCUAAAAAACAUCAGAAACGAACUUAUAUAUUAAAUU